rnacentral:rRNA from 1 species
AGUUUGAUCCUGGCUCAGGAUGAACGCUAGCGACAGGCUUAACACAUGCAAGUCGAGGGGCAGCAUGUCCAGCAAUGGAUGAUGGCGACCGGCGGAAGGGUGCGUAACGCGUGAGCAACAUGCCCUAUACAGGGGGAUACACCAGGGAAACUUGGUCUAAUAUCCCAUAGCAUUCAUUGAAGGCAUCUUUAAUGAAUUAAAGCUUCGGUGGUAUAGGAUUGGCUCGCGUGACAUUAGCCAGAUGGUGAGGUAACGGCUCACCAUAGCAAUGAUGUCUAGGGGUUUUGAGAGGAAGGCCCCCCACACUGGGACUGAGACACGGCCCAGACUCCUACGGGAGGCAGCAGUGAGGAAUAUUGGACAAUGGAUGGAAAUCUGAUCCAGCCAUGCCGCGUGCAGGAAGACGGCCUUAUGGGUUGUAAACUGCUUUUAUACGGGAGCAAUAAGGGUUACGAGUAAUCCGAUGAGAGUACUGUAUGAAUAAGGAUCGGCUAACUCCGUGCCAGCAGCCGCGGUAAUACGGAGGAUCCGAGCGUUAUCCGGAAUUAUUGGGUUUAAAGGGUGCGUAGGCGGCCAUUUAAGUCAGCGGUGAAAUUUUGCAGCUUAACUGUAGAAUAGCCGUUGAAACUGUGUUUCUUGAGUACAUUUGAGGUAGGCGGAAUGUGGUGUGUAGCGGUGAAAUGCAUAGAUAUACCACAGAACACCGAUUGCGAAGGCAGCUUACUAAACUGUCACUGACGCUGAUGCACGAAAGCGUGGGUAUCAAACAGGAUUAGAUACCCUGGUAGUCCGCACAGUAAACUAUGGAUACUCUCUGCCGGCGAUACAUUGUCGGUGGCCAAGCGAAAGCGUUAAGUAUCCCACCUGGGGAGUACGUUCGCAAGAAUGAAACUCAAAGGAAUUGACGGGGGCCCGCACAAGCGGAGGAACAUGUGGUUUAAUUCGAUGAUACGCGAGGAACCUUACCCGGGUUUGAAUUGCUGAUGGCGAUAAUUGGAGACAGUUAUUUCCCUUCGGGGCGUCAGUGAAGGUGCUGCAUGGUUGUCGUCAGCUCGUGCCGUGAGGUGUCGGCUUAAGUGCCAUAACGAGCGCAACCCUUGCCGUUAGUUGCCAUCGGGUCAUGCCGGGCACUCUAUUGGGACUGCCAUCGUAAGAUGUGAGGAAGGUGGGGAUGACGUCAAAUCAGCACGGCCCUUAUGUCCGGGGCGACACACGUGUUACAAUGGGGGGUACAGUGGGAAGCUACCUGGCGACAGGUUGCGGAUCCCCAAAUCCUUUCUCAGUUCGGAUCGGAGUCUGUAACUCGACUCCGUGAAGUUGGAUUCGCUAGUAAUCGCGCAUCAGCCAUGGCGCGGUGAAUACGUUCCCGGGCCUUGUACACACCGCCCGUCAAG